rnacentral:rRNA from 1 species
GAUGAACGCUGGCGGCGUGCCUAAUACAUGCAAGUCGAGCGAACGGACGAGAAGCUUGCUUCUCUGAUGUUAGCGGCGGACGGGUGAGUAACACGUGGAUAACCUACCUAUAAGACUGGGAUAACUUCGGGAAACCGGAGCUAAUACCGGAUGAUAUUUUGAACCGCAUGGUUCAAAAGUGAAAGACGGUCUUGCUGUCACUUAUAGAUGGAUCCGCGCUGCAUUAGCUAGUUGGUAAGGUAACGGCUUACCAAGGCAACGAUGCAUAGCCGACCUGAGAGGGUGAUCGGCCACACUGGAACUGAGACACGGUCCAGACUCCUACGGGAGGCAGCAGUAGGGAAUCUUCCGCAAUGGGCGAAAGCCUGACGGAGCAACGCCGCGUGAGUGAUGAAGGUCUUCGGAUCGUAAAACUCUGUUAUUAGGGAAGAACAUAUGUGUAAGUAACUGUGCACAUCUUGACGGUACCUAAUCAGAAAGCCACGGCUAACUACGUGCCAGCAGCCGCGGUAAUACGUAGGUGGCAAGCGUUAUCCGGAAUUAUUGGGCGUAAAGCGCGCGUAGGCGGUUUUUUAAGUCUGAUGUGAAAGCCCACGGCUCAACCGUGGAGGGUCAUUGGAAACUGGAAAACUUGAGUGCAGAAGAGGAAAGUGGAAUUCCAUGUGUAGCGGUGAAAUGCGCAGAGAUAUGGAGGGACACCAGUGGCGAAGGCGACUUUCUGGUCUGUAACUGACGCUGAUGUGCGAAAGCGUGGGGAUCAAACAGGAUUAGAUACCCUGGUAGUCCACGCCGUAAACGAUGAGUGCUAAGUGUUAGGGGGUUUCCGCCCCUUAGUGCUGCAGCUAACGCAUUAAGCACUCCGCCUGGGGAGUACGACCGCAAGGUUGAAACUCAAAGGAAUUGACGGGGACCCGCACAAGCGGUGGAGCAUGUGGUUUAAUUUGAAGCAACGCGAAGAACCUUACCAAAUCUUGACAUCCUUUGACAACUCUAGAGAUAGAGCCUUCCCCUUCGGGGGACAAAGUGACAGGUGGUGCAUGGUUGUCGUCAGCUCGUGUCGUGAGAUGUUGGGUUAAGUCCCGCAACGAGCGCAACCCUUAAGCUUAGUUGCCAUCAUUAAGUUGGGCACUCUAAGUUGACUGCCGGUGACAAACCGGAGGAAGGUGGGGAUGACGUCAAAUCAUCAUGCCCCUUAUGAUUUGGGCUACACACGUGCUACAAUGGGCAAUACAAAGGGCAGCGAAACCGCGAGGUCAAGCAAAUCCCAUAAAGUUGUUCUCAGUUCGGAUUGUAGUCUGCAACUCGACUACAUGAAGCUGGAAUCGCUAGUAAUCGUAGAUCAGCAUGCAACGGUGAAUACGUUCCCGGGUCU